rnacentral:rRNA from 1 species
CCUACGCGUGGCAGCAGUGGGGAAUAUUGCACAAUGGGGGGAACCCUGAUGCAGCGACGCCGCGUGAGUGAAGAAGUAUUUCGGUAUGUAAAGCUCUAUCAGCAGGGAAGAAAAUGACGGUACCUGACUAAGAAGCCCCGGCUAACUACGUGCCAGCAGCCGCGGUAAUACGUAGGGGGCAAGCGUUAUCCGGAUUUACUGGGUGUAAAGGGAGCGCAGACGGCUGUGCAAUUCUGGAGUGAAAGGCGGGGGUCCAACCCCCAGACUGCUCUGGAAACUGUAAAGCUGGAGGGCAGGAGAGGUAAGCGGAAUUGCUAGUGUAGCGGUGAAAUGCGUAGAUAGUAGGAGGAACACCAGUGGCGAAGGCAGCUUACUGGGCUGCAACUGACGUUGAGGCUCGAAAGCGUAGGGAGCAAACAGGAUUAGAUACCCUGGUAGUC